rnacentral:rRNA from 1 species
UACGUAGGGGGCAAGCGUUGUCCGGAUUUAUUGGGCGUAAAGAGCGUGUAGGCGGUCAGGUAGGUGGGCUGUGAAAACUGGAGGCUCAACCUUCAGACGUCGACCCAAACCCCCUGGCUAGAGUCCGGAAGAGGAGAGUGGAAUUCCUGGUGUAGCGGUGAAAUGCGCAGAUAUCGAGAGGAACACCGGCGGCGAAGGCGGGUUGCUGGGCCGACACUGACGCUGAUGCGCGAAAGCCAGGGGAGCGAACGGG